rnacentral:rRNA from 1 species
GGAAGGGAUAAGUGCUGAAAGCAUCUAAGCAUGAAGCCCCCCUCAAGAUGAGAUUUCCCAUAGCGUUAAGCUAGUAAGAUCCCUGAAAGAUGAUCAGGUUGAUAGGUUCGAGGUGGAAGCGUGGUGACACGUGGAGCUGACGAAUACUAAUAGAUCGAGGACUUAAUCAA